AUAAUUCAGCGUUGAUGGCAAAAUCUCAAUGAUGAAGUUUAUCACUAAAAGAAAACAACCUAUGCUGUGAAAGCAGAGAUGCUCUAGAAUCUACAGGUCUUUUCCUAUGGGAAAAUAAGAGAAAAAAAGACUGUCAUCAGAAUCAUUUUACAGCAUUGAGACUAUGUUGAUUUCAAGGUCAUGUUUGUUGCAGCUUCAAAAGAUGCUGGCAAGGAACGAGAAGAAAAAGAACUCUGAAAUGAAAUUGAGGAUUUGAACUUCACACAGCUGUUUGAAGGAGAAAAGGGAAUUUUUAAAAGGAGAAUGAAAGUGUCCUUGUCUCUAGAACUGAAGCAACUUGGAGGAAUGAGUGGAGUCUUUGUUUAGUGAGUGAGUUCUCAUGAGAUCUGAUGGUUUUGUAAGGGGCUUUUACCCCUUUUGCUCAGCACUUCUCCUUCCUGCCAUCAUGUGAAGAAGGGCAUGUUUGCUUCCCCUUCUACCAUGAUUCUGAAUUCUUGCCGCCAGGAUGGGGAAACAGAACAGCAAGCUGCGCCCGGAGGUCAUGCAGGACUU
rnacentral:lncRNA from 1 species